UUUAAUCAGAAUUUUCAGUGGAUUAAUCAGGAUUAAUCACUAUUUGAAACUACACCUGAAGCCUAACCAGUUUUUUUCUGAAAUGCAUACCAAAAUAUAAAUAACAGGAUACAGAUACACAAUUUUCAUAUUAUGUCUGUUUAUUAACACAGCCAAAUAAUGGUGGUUUCAAUCAAGCUGAAACAUACUACACACCAUAAUAUUUGUCUUUGCAAUGUCCCACCGCUUCCUUUUUGGCAUUCCUAUUAACCAGGAUGUACAAUACAGUAUUCAAUAGUACAGAAAGCAAAAAAGGUAGUCAAAGCAUAACUGUGGCCUACCACAUUUUUAUCAUACACAAUUUGAGUCAUCCGCUGCGUUUUUCUGUUGAAAAAAUAUUUUCAGUAAAACUUUUAAAUUAAAUCAAAAGAACAAUAUUUUACCUUUUCCUAUAUUCUCUAAUACAAUUGCUCAAGCAAGCCUAACUACCGUAAUUUCCGGACUAUAGAGCGCACCUCAAUAAAAGCUGCACCAACAACAAAAAAAAAUGGUUUUUUACACACACUCGAAGCCGCGGCGCAGCAGACACAUGCGAGUCUCCGGCGCACAGCACAUGUACAGCCAUAACAUAAGAUAAUUAGACAGAAAGACGCUACACGUUGGUUUUUCGUUGUUGUUUUAAUUCAACAAAACGAAUUUUAAACAUGGGUGAACGUGCCUGCAAGUUUAGAAAAGAAAACAGCACUGACAGCAUUCAUAUUUCUGGAUGGUUAUAAAAUAAAAACAGAACUGACACGUUAUUACCGGUAAUUUGCAUGCAUGUUUAGAAGAAAAGAACAGCGCUGACACAGCAUUAAUAAGCCCUGGAUGAUUAGAAAAUAAAAAACGCACACAAAACAUGCCUGAUUAGUACAUAAAACACACUUGCCUACCAGAAAAAGUCAUUCGCUCUCAUCUUCCUCUUGCGCACUAAAGCCAUUAAAGUCCUCUUCUUCAGUGUCGGAGUUGAACAGCCUCAGAAGAGCUUCGUCACAUACCUUUUCUGUGGCGAUGUCAGUGUCGCUGUCCGUGUUGCUGUCAUCAUCCCCGGGAGAAGCUGGCUUGAAUGAGUUCUUCCCGUUGCCGUCAGAAUUGGUGACUGUGGUCAUUCGCAACAUGAGUCGAGCUACCGUUAUAGAUCGAGAGGGUUUAUAUGAGGACAGAGUUAGGGGGAAGGGAAAAAAGGCACUUCAGAGUUACCCCCGACAGAGAGGAUAGCUUUGCUAUGCAAAAAAACACCUCGGACAGAUAUGCACACAGACUUCAGAGGAUACACAACAAAAGUCUCCACUAGGUAGGGAGGAAGGGUUCUGGGACACUCCUCACUUCAGAGUGCGCAGCCGCAAGCAUCCCCGAGGGGCAGCAGCGCUCACCACCUCUGUUUGGACAGGAGAGGGAGAUUAUUGGGUUAGAGAGCACAUUGACCCUAGAUACGGUUCCAUGGCCUUCACCGGUCACAGUCCCGCCCAGGCUGGGAUAGGGAGAAAGAGUUUCCAUGGCGACAGCAGCAUUCAACAUUUCUUCUGAGGGGAGUUUACAAUUCAGCCUCAAAGGGAUGUCCUCCAAUUUAACGGUGGGCUCUGCUCUGUACCUGUGUAUGGCAGGUUGGACCUCUUCAUCUUCUGAUUCUGUAUCCGAGUUAAGUGCUCGCUCUCUAAUCGGAAGGUUGCAGGUUCGAGCCCCGCUCAGUCUGUCUUUGUCGUUGUGUCCUUGGGCAAGACACUUAACCCACCUUGCCUGCUGGUGGUGGUCGGAGGGACCGGUGGCACCAGUGCUCGGCAGCCUCGCCUCUGUCAGUGCGCCCCAGGGCAGCUGUGGCUACAUCAUAGCUCAUCCCCACCAGUGUGUGAAUGUGUGUGUGAAUGGAUGAAUGACUGAUUGUGUUGUAAAGUGCCUUCGGGGGUUCCAGGACAGGCCAUUUACCAUUUUCUUCAUCUUCUGAUUAUGUAUCCAAGCUCAUUUGCAGAAGGCAGAUUUUCUUACCGGGUGACCCCUCUUCAUGUGUCUGUGAAGACUUUCUGGGCGAUUCAUGUUGCAGCAUUCCUUCAAGUGUGGUCCAUACCUCUUCCCUGUGUCUUGGGCAGUUGUUUUAAUACUGUAGCAGUCUGGAGCCAUGCAUUGUUGCGCUGUUCUUGACGGGAUGCUAGCUCCUCCUUGAACUUGGUCUUAAAUCGCAUCACAUAUCCAGGGUCCUCAUCAUAUUUUACAUACAUACAUGUUAUAGAUAUUUAACCCUCUGGGGUCCAUGGACGCGUCUUUUGAGCUGGUCUGAUUUGGGACGCUGUAGCAGCAAGAUUCCACGUCCCUGAGUGUCGGUUUAAAUUCGGCUUUAAAAAGGAGAUUAUAAACUACACCCCAGUUUUUUAAUUUUGUUAAUAGGCAACAUAAAAGCGAAGUUAUACUAAACUAAAAAACGACCUAUUUUUAGACAAUCUGAUAACUUGUCAAAACAGCAGUUUAGUAAUCCGUGAGCGGGAAUGUGUUGUGAACAUAAAAAAAACCACAAAAACAUGAGAUCCUUUUGCUGUUGGUGGAUGUCUCACAUAUUCAAUUGAUAAAAAGCAUCAUUAUGUAGCUGAGAGAGAGAGGAAGGCUGCACGAGUAACGAGAUGUGCGCAAAAAGGAGCCGCUUCGCGGGGAAAUGAGUGGCGCGAACGGAGUAACAACAAACAAUUAGACAGAUAUUGACGGUAAACUUCAUAUUUUGGAGCGAUCCGAACAGAUAUAUUGUCUCUGCAGUUUAGUGGGCUUUUAUUAGGCUUAUAUAAAGGAUGAUGAGAAGGAUGUCCACCAGGCAGUUCAGAUAGUACAGCUGUUUUUGAACUGGAAGCAGAGGAAGUUGACGGAGACUCACAGCCGGAGUCUGAGGCAAAUGGUGAGGAUGUUGAUGAUGUGGCAAAUCCAUCCUUCCUCAUAGAAGAGUUGGGUCAUGAUGAGGUAGAGGAUGAAGGCAGAAAUGCACCUCCUCGGAGAUCCAACAAGAGGAGUGGGCGGCGCCGCGCAGCUGUCAGAUCUCGGCGUGAGACAGAGCCACUCCUCUCUCCAAAAUCCAUGUACAUUAUCGCCAAAUUAAAGAGCAAGUAACGUCUAAAUUAACUUUUUUUUGCUGAUGAACUGCAUAAAUGAGUGUCUAAUAGUGUUUUAAAUGUGUGCAUUCUUUAUUUUAGCAUUUUGGUGCAUUUUCUUUAAAAAUUAAAAAUUCUGUCUAAAAACCACAGUAAUGCGCCACCUUCAGCUGAAAACAUAGAAUUUGAGUCAUUUUGAAUAAAUUUUAGCCAAUGGCUAAAGAGUAAAGUACUACGUAAACCAGUAGAGUACUACGUAGCAGCUCCGUGCCAAAGUUAUAAAAGCAACGAGCGUCUCGGCCACGCCCUGUGGCAAGUGGGAAUUGGAUUUGCAAGCGAGCGUAGGAGGUCAGCGGUAGUUCAGCAUUAGCGUAUAGCAUUAGCAUAUCCUAGUCUUAGCAUAUCUUUUAGUGUUAUAAAUACUUAUUUAGUGUUAGAUUUGGCUGUUGGAUAUUGUAGUUUAGUUAGUGUGUGGCUGUUAGUGUAAUUGGGAAAGUAGUUCGGGUUUAGUGCUCCAUAUCGUGUUAGUAUUGGUGAGUAGGUGUAGUGUAGUAUGGUUGCGGUGACUCUGUGGGCAUUUUACCCGCGAUUCUGCACGUCUCCGUUUGAAGAGGGAGGCUGCCCACCAUGGCUCUUCCGCGAUUUAGAUGCAGCCCACCGACUCUGCUCCCCCACCACGGCGGGCUCCAGUCUGAGGCUAAAUCUACCCAAGACACUGGCUGUCAGACUGAUUUAGCUGCAAGAAUGCACUUGUCCAGGCUGAUGUGAAGCUUUACCGGCGUAGCAAAGCCAGCCAGAAUGGAGUUCACAGCCGCAGUGUGUCUGGUGACCCACGGGGACCAUGAUGAAAAUUCAUCUUCCAGAAGGUCCCAGAGCAGCGGCCGCACCCCCUGAAAAGACCAACGUGUGAGGUGUCUGCUGUUGAUUCCAGCUUCCACCUCAGUGACAGU